AGCGGCAGGCCUAACACAUGCAAGUCGAGGGGUAACAGGGUUUUCGGACCGCUGACGACCGGCGCACGGGUGCGUAACGCGUAUGCAACCUACCUUUAACAGGAAGAUAGCCCCGAGAAAUCGGGAUUAAUACUCCAUAACAAUAAGAAAUGGCAUCAUUUUUUAUUUAAAGCUUUGGCGGUUAAAGAUGGGCAUACGUGACAUUAGUUAGUUGGUGAGGUAACGGCUCACCAAGACUACGAUGUCUAGGGGUUCUGAGAGGAUUAACCCCCACACUGGUACUGAGACACGGACCAGACUCCUACGGGAGGCAGCAGUGAGGAAUAUUGGUCAAUGGGCGAAAGCCUGAACCAGCCAUGCCGCGUGCAGGAUGACGGCGCUAUGCGUUGUAAACUGCUUUUCUACAGGAAGAAACCUACCCUCGUGAGGGUAGCUGCCGGUACUGUAGGAAUAAGCACCGGCUAACUCCGUGCCAGCAGCCGCAGUAAUACGGAGGGUGCAAGCGUUAUCCGGAUUUAUUGGGUUUAAAGGGUACGUAGGCGGAAUAAUAAGUCAGUGGUGAAAUCCUGCGGCUCAACCGUAGAACUGCCAUUGAUACUGUUAUUCUUGAAUGUAGUUGAGGUAGGCGGAAUGUGUAAUGUAGCGGUGAAAUGCUUAGAUAUUACACAGAACACCGAUUGCGAAGGCAGCUUACUAAACUAUAAUUGACGCUGAUGUACGAAAGCGUGGGGAGCGAACAGGAUUAGAUACCCUGGUAGUCCACGCCGUAAACGAUGAUCACUCGUUGUUUGUGAUAUACAAUAAGCAACUGAGCGAAAGCAUUAAGUGAUCCACCUGGGGAGUACGUUCGCAAGAAUGAAACUCAAAGGAAUUGACGGGGGCCCGCACAAGCGGAGGACAUGUG
rnacentral:rRNA from 1 species